UAGUCUAGUAAGUAAAACGUUAUGUCGAGAGAAGUUCAUUCCUUUUAUUCGGUCGUACGAAAAGUUUCCUUAAAAUGUUCAAGUGAAUUCUCGUAUCGUUCGUAAAAGAAAUUUGAACGUUCGUCGAGUCGUCAGAUAAAAAGGAAGUGACGUAUAGAUGUAUUACCGUACGAUAUAUGCAAGUAUUCUUUCCCCUGCUGUUUGCUAUGUGCGAAAGAGCUGCAGAACGAAGUCAUAAAGUUUCUAGAAGAAUAUCUCCCAACAUUCUUUGCCAUAUCGUACGAAAAGCUACGGCCUUAGCUUAUCUAUAUACCGAGUGUUCCCAUUACUGAAGGUACAUCUUAUACGUGUCCCCGCUUACUGACAAGCGCCCUUCGCAUGGAACAAUACACUAUCUACAUCUAUGUGCGGUGUCGAUACUUGAAAAGUUGAGAAGAAAGAGGAUACAGAAAGAGAUAUAUAUAUAUGGUAAGAGAAACGAAAAGAGAAAAAGAUAUAUAUAUAUAUAUAUAUAUAUAUAUAUAUAUAAUAGCUAUAGACAAGAUACUAUUGCUAGCUAGAAAUGCUUGCUAGUACUCAUACGCCAGGACGAAUCCGGCAGGAUUCCGAAUGAAAGGUAAAACUUGUUUCUAUUUCUUACGAGUUCAUUCCUUUCAUUAUACAUUUUCAUUAUUGAUCUUAACACUCCGUUAGAUAUAUCGACUUCUUCAUCGAAAUAUUUCAUUUUAUUCCCUAAUAAUACUUCGAUACAAAAAUAAAAAGUCUGAUACGAAGUUAUUAGAAAUUUCCUUAAGAUCAUUAAUAAUAAUAAUAAUAUCGUUUGUCUAAAUAUUUUUAUGAUAAAAGUACGAUCAUUUAUGUUUAAAAAAAAAAAAAAAAAAAAAAAAAAAAAAAAGAGAUAUUAUUGAAUUGAAACGUUUAAAUUGGUUUGAGAUAAACAUAAAACAAAAAGAAAAGUUAAUAUCUAAUUGCUAUUGUAAGAAAAUUUUUCUACGAACUUGUAUAAUUAUUUUAAUUACUAUAAUGUAAUUAAAACUUUUAACGGUGAAAAUAAUUAUUUUUAUUUGUAUUUGAUUUAAAACGAAUCGAUUUAGAGACGUUAACGAAAUAUCCAAUUUGAAUAAUUCGAACGUUUGCUACGACGUGUUAAUAGUGUGAUCUUGAUUCAUAAACUAUAUUAAUAUACACACACGAUGUGCUGAUGAUGGUGAUGUUGAUCAUCUCGAUGACGGCUAUUGCGAAAGCGUUACUUCGAUCAGCGGACGUAACACCAACGGAAAUGAUCCUGUCCAAUAGGUGCACGCGUUGCUUCGCCAACUCUUGUCUGAUAUAAUCGAUCUAUUUUGCUGGGUAAUUGAUGGAUAUGCACUGCGUUAAUUAAUAGAGACUAAUAGUCUCGCGAUAUAGAGGCAAAUAGAACUAUCGAUAGGCAAUAGAACUAUCGUCAAAUAUGUAUAUACCCGUAUUAUGUAGUCAACGAUACACUAACCUCCGUUGUCCUCUAUUAUAUUUCUAUAAUAAUAUAUAAAAAAAAAAAAAAAAAUUAAUUUAUCUAUCAUUCCCCAUAUUGGAGAUUUUGAUCUAAUAUUAAAAAAAAAAAGAAAAGGGAAAAGAAAAAUUACAAGAACAACAACAAUUUCACAAUGAAACGAUUCGAAUAUAGCAUUUAAUCAUAAAGUAGCGGAUAAAUUAUAUUUACUUAAUCGUUUAAUACCUGAACUCUCGAUAUUAAUAUUAAAUAUAGUCCUGUUCGAUAUUAAUUUUCGAUCUGUCCAAUAAUGAUCUCGGAUUUAUUGAAAAUACUUUCUCUUUCUUUUCUUUUUUUUCUUUUUUUUUUCCUUUUUUUUUUCUUUUUUUUUUUGUAAAAACUCCCAAGAACAUUCUUAACAAAUUGAGAAUAAAGAGAACAAAAAAAGAAAAAAAAAGAAAUAUCAAUAUAUUAAAAAUAUUCUUAAAUAUGAGAAGUUAUUAUGUCGUGAACGGUAUAUUGUCUGGGACAUAACUCGAUUUUUCUUUUACAAGUAAAAGAUCACUUAAAAGAACUCAAAGUACGUUAACUUUCGCCCAACACUUUUAUAUCUUAGUUACACCUUUCAUUAAUUUCACGAAGUACCAAAGUAACUUCCUUGCAAACGAUCGUUUAGUAAAGCGGCAAACAAUUAAGUUAGCUGGACGAUCCAGUGUUAAACUGGGCAGUCGGUCUACACGUAUCUCAUUAUUAGGUCUCGGACGUUAGCUCUUUGAAAGUUUGGACCGUUGCCCGCAUCACUGUCUCCCGGAUACGGUCUCAGCUUCUACCCUUUUGUCGCGAACAAUAGUCGAGACAGCGAUGCUAACAAGGGUUGGAAGUUUUGAAGCGUCCACACUGUGUCCGUGUGCUUUUGCUUAUCAUUUCUCCGUACGUACUGUAUUUCAUUUUACAACAGAAAAAAUCUCGAGUACUGAGAUAAAAUUUCUCAUUUUUGACAAACGAAAUUUUUAAUAGGCUUUUAAUUAAAUAACUUUCUAUCCGAUAACGUAUGGAUGUAUGUUUUUCCAUAAAUACAUAUAUAUUAUGAGAAAACAAAUAGUAACAUUUAAUACAUUAUUUUU